rnacentral:rRNA from 1 species
GAUGAACGCUGACAGAAUGCUUAACACAUGCAAGUCAACUUGAACUUCGGUUUGGGUGGCGGACGGGUGAGUAACGCGUAAAGAACUUGCCUCACAGAUAGGGACAACAUUUGGAAACGAAUGCUAAUACCUGAUAUUAUGAUUAUAUGGCAUCGUAUAAUUAUGAAAGCUAUAUGCGCUGUGAGAGAGCUUUGCGUCCCAUUAGCUAGUUGGAGAGGUAACGGCUCACCAAGGCGAUGAUGGGUAGCCGGCCUGAGAGGGUGAUCGGCCACAAGGUGACAGAGACACGGCCCGUACGCCUACGUGAGGCAGCAGUGGGGAAUAGUGGACAAUGGACCAAGAGUAUGAUCCAGCAAUUCUGUGUGCACGAUGAUGUUUUUCGGAAUGUAAAGUGCUUUCAGUUGAGAAGAAAAAAAUGACGGUACCAACAGAAGAAGUAACGGCUAAAUACGUG